UAGGGAAUCUUCGGCAAUGGGGGGAACCCUGACCGAGCAACGCCGCGUGAGUGAAGAAGGAUUUCGGUUCGUAAAACUCUGUUGUUAGAGAAGAACAGCGCAUAGAGUAACUGUUAUGCGUGUGACGGUAUCUAACCAGAAAGCCACGGCUAACUACGUGCCAGCAGCCGCGGUAAUACGUAGGUGGCAAGCGUUGUCCGGAUUUAUUGGGCGUAAAGCGAGCGCAGGCGGUCAAUUAAGUCUGAUGGGAAAGCCCCCGGCUCAACCGGGGAGGGUCAUUGGAAACUGGUUAGCUUGAGUGCAGAAGAGGAGAGUGGAAUUCCAUGUGUAGCGGUGAAAUGCGUAGUUAUAUAGAGGAACACCGGUGGCGAAAGCGGCUCUCUGGUCUGUAACUGACGCUGAGGCUCGAAAGCGUGGGGAGCGAACAGG
rnacentral:rRNA from 1 species